rnacentral:rRNA from 1 species
ACAGCAGCCGCCGCGGUAAUACGGAGGGGGCUAGCGUUGUUCGGAAUUACUGGGCGUAAAGCGCACGUAGGCGGCUUGGUAAGUUAGAGGUGAAAGCCCGGGGCUCAACCCCGGAAUUGCCUUUAAGACUGCCGAGCUAGCAGGUGAGAGAGGUGAGUGGAAUUCCGAGUGUAGAGGUGAAAUUCGUAGAUAUUCGGAAGAACACCAGUGGCGAAGGCGGCUCACUGGCUCAUACUGGACGCUGAGGUGCGAAAGCGUGGGGAGCAAACAGGAUUAGAUACCCCUGUAGUCCCUGUCUCUUAUAC